GCUCACGUGUGUACAUGUACCCCAAAACCACGACGCGAGGAGAACUAUAAAAAAUAUAGUUCCAGUGGGUUCGGCCGCCGACUCGCCGAUCUUACACCUAUAGGGUCUAAGCUGGACACAGAUAGAUAGAUACAGAGAGAUGAAUAGAUAUUGAACUGCAACUACUGAUCUAUUGUGCUAUCAAAUGCAAGCAAGAUGAAUAUAACUAGCCAAUAAGCCUAACUAUUAUGAUAUAUGCUUUCAACGAUGUAGAUGAAUAAAUACGACAUAGUUUUGCAUUGCCACAUAACAUAUACUUAUGUUUUUUUAAUCCAGGGUAUGAAGCAAAAUCCACUUCAUUACUAUUCAUGUAUUGACCAAUCACUCAGGUACCCGCCUUUCUCAAAUCACGUGGCUGAAGGACUACUCCGCCCUUGUUUCACCCGUUCCCACAACUUCUAAACUAUAGGUUAAGAGUACCCGCUCGUCGCCGCAACUCUAACGUCAAAUGCCAACGGCAUGAGCUUACCCGCUCUUCGCUCCGACGUCUAACUCAAUCAUAGGUCAGAGCUACCCGCUCUAGGUCACAGAGUACCUCCGCUCGUAGGGUAAAGAGCUCCGACUCAUAGGUUAAAGAGUACCCGCUCAAAGUGUCAAGCCGUCAAAGAGCUACCCCGUCGCAUAGUAAAGAGCUACCCCGCUCAAAAAUGUACUCAGGUCAAGAGCUCCCGCCGUCGUAGGUUAAAGGACUACCCCGUUCAUACGGUAAAGAGCUACCCGCUCAAAGUCAAGAGAGUACCGCUCGGUAGGUUAAGAGCUACCCGCUCAUAGGCGUAAAGAGCUACCUCGCUCAAACGGUAAAGAUGCUACCCCGCUCAAAAUCUACAAGGAGAAGAGCAUACCCGCCUUCGCCCGACUCACUUCCCAGCCACAUGGUGGGAGCUACCCCGCUCGUUAUCCCACCCAUGAGCUACCCCGCUCGCUUGACAACUGAGGAUACCCUGUCAACUAGGUUAACCAUCCCUUGAUAUUCUACCUAUCCCUAGGUCCAUGUCAAAGUGUUUCAACCAUAUCAAAUCUCAAUGCACAUCACUAGGUCUAGCCAACUCUAGGUUCCACAACACUGGUUUAAUGUCAACUAUGUUAACAACAUUAUAUUAAUCCACUCGAUCUAUCCUAGGUCACGACACUAGGUUUAGAUGCCCACUUUCUCCAUAAUUAACAAUAGGUUAAACAUUCAUUUCAUCUAGCAUAUAUGUUCUAUAAGGCCAACUUGCAUCAUAUAAUGCUAAUAUGCCAUAAUCAACUAGCAUGCAAUCCAUUCAUAAUGCUACGUGCAUACAGUCUCCAUUACACUAGUUCACAUGUCACUAGUUUCAUUUCAAGUCCACAGUUCUUAUUUCUUUCUCAUUAUAGGAUCUCAUGUCUCAAACCUUAUCAUAUGCAUAUUCUAGAUUUAAGUGUCAAGUCUAUAAUACUAACAACUAGACAUGCACUCAAGGAAAGUAGAAAAUGUAACUAUACAUAAUCUAUAUAAUGCAUAAGAACCAAUAUAUGAAUAUGAUCAACUAUUAUCGGAGAUAGAAGGAAGCCCGAUUGCUUCGGAUAGACACCCCCAUUUUUACAGCCGUUCCGAUGCUCGUCGUCACUCGCAAUCGGCCUCCCGCGGCACACCGCUCGGCUUGACCCAAUCUGCGCCGACCCGAACGACCUCGAUCCGCGAUCCGAAAAUUAAAGGGUCUUCGGUUUCUUGUCACGAUGCUUCAAAUCCGUUUCCACGAUUUACGGACGUCGCCUCGCCCUCCAGCGGAAACGAAGUCUAAACGUCCGUUUCUUUAAUAACUUCGCACUUGCUCGACGAAUCGCCGAACGUCGCUUCCAACGCGUUUAGUGACCUAUCGAUAGGUUUACGGAGGGUCAAAUUAGAUCAAACCCUCAUAUUUGAAAAUUAACAUUUUGGAGCCUUAACAUGAAAUAACCUCCAAAUACUCCAAAUUAAAUGAGCAAUAUGCUACUAAUGACUAUUAGAGGCUACUAGAACUCUUAAAGCUAAGGAUUAAGCCAAAUCCCAAAAGCUUACCCAUUGUGAACGCCGCGACGAAAACACGCCGCUCCAACGGGCGCACGAAGCUCGAUCCGUCGCUCCCAACGCGUUCACAAGCAUUCUUCUCGCCAACGCUGCGAAUUUGAGCGAGAAAUAUAGAGAGAUGAGAGAGAUCUCUAGAGAGAGAAAGGCAGGGUUCUCUCCUCCCUUUCAUGCGUGCGUGGUGUGUGGCCAUGGAGGCGGUGGUCGGUUGAAGGAGAAGAAGCUGCAUGCUUCUAAUUAAAGUCAACACCAACACUAUUCACUCCAGGCAACUUUAAAAUCUGAUAUCUUUCGCCGGAGCUCCCUGAAUAUCCGUUUGAGCUCAAAUCUGACAGUCAUAUUCGGUUUUACUUAAAGAGUCCAAAGAAAUUUUAAUAUUUCAGUUUCGACCCGUUUGGUACCGAAAACUGUGCCGAACUGUAAUCUUUAUCAGAUGGCUUUCGGAUUUUAUUUCUCACUCUACGGGUAUCAGAAAAAUAUGAAACUUAAAAUCUAGCCUCAUUAAAUAUUUCUGACAUCCCCGCCAAUUUCAUAAUUUUCGAGACUGUGUAUUUUCUGCUAAUUUAUCUGCCCCGUUAUCAACAGAAAAAUCCAGAUUCUUCUGUUUUCAUCCCGAUUUCAGCACAAGUCACUUCUGAUUAUGUUUUACUUCUCUAGAUCAAUAAAAUGUAUUCUCAUACUAUUUUUUUUAUUUAUAUUUUAUCUUUUAUAUUUAAAUCCGGUAUAUUACAUUACACCGCAACCUUACCGGAACCAUUCAAAUGGCUCUCCAACCAAAUGGACACCGUAACCUCAUGAUUUUAGAAGUCGCGUACCUUACACUCUCCCCUCCUAUAAAGGAGUUUCGUCCCGAAACUCAAACCACGCCUCAAUUCGGCUCCUGAGCAAUUUAGGGCGCUAAUGCACUUUUCUAGUUCGGAAUGGCUUUACCUCUUUGCAACUAUCCAAGAGGCCAACACGGAGGGUACAAUACCCAACUCGUACAACUUUGCAAGGCGCAUCUCAGCAGGUGCAUUACGUUCUCGUUAUUCUGGCAGCAGCGCAAGUCGAGGUCAACGGCUCUACGCACUCCAAAGUCAUUCGCCAACUGGCCACUAAGGCCAAACCACCUCCCUCGAGAACGGGAUACCCGCUAUCCUCAUGGUGUGGAGCUAUCAAGAACGCACCAAUAGUCAUAUGGUCCACCAUCACGACACAGCACACACGGGUAAGCCCUCUCGAAUCACCCGAAUGUCAACAAAGCGGCGCUCCGCCACUUUGGCUAUCCAAGAGUUCGUAUUUUCUCAUUCACGGACUCUUCAUCACUUUCACCAUCCUCUAGGGGUCACAUCCAAUUGAUCACAUAUCGCCUAGAAGCAAUAUCAUUGGUGCAUCGACCCACUGGCGAGUGCUCCAAUCUUCAACCAGACCCUUGCUCUACCGCGGGAUGGCACGCUUCGGCAAUCUCCAACUCAGCCCUUAAAAGAGCAUUAUCUCAAGCUCCAAUUCACUUAGGGGCAUCAACUUCAAUCCUCUACCUCUCGUGGCUUCCAAUAGCUCAAUGUCUCACGCGAGCAGUAUAUCCUCGAAUACCAUAUGCCACGACCAUCACCAACUCGUUCGUGCAAACGAAUCCACAUGAACAUCGUUCGUCAUUCUAGGCCACGCCCAUCACUGAGGCUACUCGCUCAACCACUUCAUCAAAUCAUAGGUGAACACAGGUCACCAAUCCUAGACUGUCGCUUAAACCAGUCUCAACUACGCGUAGUGUCUCUCGCUCACCAGUGUAGACCAAUUAUCACUACUGGGCGAAAUUCUUAUUGGAGAAUUCGCACACACUUCAACCAGGAGCAACUAGACCUCAAAACACGUCGAAUCCUUGGGUUGGGUCACUACCACAGAGGUGUAACCUUGAUCUCAUGAUCCACGUGUGUCAUUCCACGCUCCGAGUCUCAGCUUGGACUACCGCCUGACCAAAAUUCUGCCCUACAUUGGGCCGCUGUCUCUCACAGCUGACUGUGCCUGCCCAAUGGGCCAGGCUCCACAGUCCACAAAUGGUCCAGGCACACGAUCGUCCCCAAGCACUACUCGCCGUCGUCGUCUUAUACGACAUACUCUAUUGAGUUACACGUACCAUUACCGACUCCUAAGUGCCUAAGCACCUAGUAUGAGCCACCAGCCCUCACGAGUGAUCGUGGCCGCUUCACACUUAGCCCUGUCGAAGUGCUACUGCAAUUCACUCGACCGGCUGAAUCGAAACCGCACUUCACGUAAUUACACUCGAGCGCUCUACACGCUCUACUGCGUUCCAACUAGGUCAGCAUUAGGCAACCUUGCUAUGCAUACCACUACACGAGCAUGGACUCGCUGACCUCAACUUGAGGUACUACUCGGCUAACGUUCUCGUAUUCGGCAACUAUACGGCUACUCUCUUCAACAGUGAUUCCACUACUAGCAAUUUGCUAGUACGUCUAGCCCUCCAUCUACUCCAGCAAGCGUUACACCCUCACGCGCAAGCAUGCUCGGGUAUUUAACAUUGUCCGUCACUUUGGUCCUUACUACAUCGAUGCAUCGACGAUAGCAAGCGACCACACGACGAAUGCAUGCAAGGUCCUUCGACAAGGUCGCGUACUCACGACAUCUCGCUUGCCCGCCGCGAGCCUCCGUCGUCACUUCCUCACACUCGUUCUCUAGACCACUCUGUAGACUUCACAUCACAAACUGUCUCGGAGAGGAAGAGCUACCUCCUACAACGCGACCCUGCAAUCGACCGCACGAAUGCCUAUCUCACCACGCAACGCACACUACCGUGCUCGGUGAGAACUCCCACAAUCCCGCAUCUCAACACCGUAGCGUCUUCGGGGACAUCAGUUCCUGAAACGCAAACAUUUGUGUUAAUCAUCUUAACCCGUUAACUCGCGCGAUUACGAGAUAAACGACUCAACAUCGCAAAUUAGGCGGAGCACAAAGUUACUCGUUCUAACUCUUAGUGUCAUGUUGCCGGCCGCAACACAACCACUUCAAGUCAAGAAUUAAUACCACUGGAAUCCGUCUCUAGUAACUACUAGAAACAUACUAUCAACAACUUCAACCCAAUCGAACAACUCCCGCCACAACGCAUAGGUCACGUCACUCACGCACCUAUAGCCUUAAGGUUUCCGUCCUAGGGUCUCCUAGGUCAAUCUAGACUCUCUCUUUGCUUGCUUUAACUCGCUCUGAUACCAUUUUAUCUGUCACGCCCGGGACCGCUACCAAUUUGGUACGAUCCGGGCGCGUCGAACAGACGCCGAACGGACAGCACUCCCCUGUCCGCCCAAGGCUAAACAACAGGAUCAUGUACAACAAGUUCCCAGGAAAUCAACUUGAAUACAUACAUGAUCAAAACAAUAGCGGCACAACCAGUGCGAACAUUACAAGAGCAAGCAUCACAAGCGUAAACAAGUGAAUAAAAGAGAGAAUAUAACUAUCUAUUACAUCACAUUUGACAUUCAACAUUUAAUACAAUUGGUUACAUUUAAGCUUCCAAAAUGAAUACAUAUCAUAUCACAUAUAUAUAAUGCUAGCUAUCCAAAAUACAUCAUUGUAUCUAUAACCAUGCACAGAGGGUGCUCUAGUACAAUAGGAAAGCUCUACUAGCUAGCUAGGGCGCUACGCCCUUACCGCGAUCUACUGCCGGUCCGCUCAGUGUGUACCUGUACCCCAAAACCACACGGGGUGAGAACUAUAAAAAUAUAGUUCCCAGUGGGUUCGGCCGCCGACUCCGCCGAUCUUCCCACUAGGUCUAAGCUGGCACAGAUAGAUAGAUAGAGAGAUAGAAAGAUAUUGAACUGCAACUAUGAUCUAUUGUGCCAUCAAAUGCAAGCAAUGCAUGAAAUAUCAACUAGCAAUAAGC
rnacentral:lncRNA from 1 species